CACGGCAUCCUGAACACGCAGGACAGGGACGGCAACACGGCUCUCCAUCUGGCGGUGGCCGCACGCGCGCCGGCCGUGGCAGAGGCCCUGAUGUGGAAGGGGAAAGUGCAAGCGGACGUCAUGAACAAGGACGGGCAGACGCCGCUGGAUUUCGCCGCGAAAUCCACCAGUUUCUUCUCCAUGGUAAGUCUGGUGGCGACACUGGCUGCAUUCGGCGCGCAGUCAAAUCCUCAAAGGCGGGACCAUGUCCAGCAAUGGAACAGCCAUGACAUAACAAAGGCGAUAGAGAAGACGUCCGACAGCCUCGCGGUGAUCGCCGUUCUCGUUGCUGGCGUCGCCUUCACCGCGGCCAACAGCAUACCCGGCUCAUACGAGCAAGAGGGCGAUACAAUAGGGAUGGCGGUCCUCCAGAAGAAAACCGUCUUCAAAUGCUUCCUUAUCCUCGACACCUUCGCCCUGGUGACCUCCGUGCUCGCCGUGGUCCUGCUCGUCUACGGCAAGGCGUCACGCUCCGCCGUGUCGUGGAAAACCUUCACGGUAGCGCUGCACUGCCUGUGGGUGUCCCUGAUCAGCAUGGUCCUGGCAUUCUACGCGGCUCUGGCAGCCGUCACGAGGACGAGGGCAGUCCACGACAUCGCCUUCAACAUCAUAAACUCUGGCCUCUUCCUGAUGUUAGGUGUGGUCUCGCUUUUGGUCAGCCCUCACGUGUCGUUCCGCACACUGUGGAAGUACCUGUGGCGGCAAUGUGGCUUGAAAGGACGUCAAGCUUCCAUCCGUAGGCGUAUCAAGCAGCAAUAUCCAGUCGUUGGUGCUUUCGUGCGCAACCUCAUUCUGUUCAGGGUUGCAAAUUAUGUUCUUCUCCUUGUGGGCCUCGGCAUAGUCUCCACAUUUGGUCUCUCAAAAGUUGGGUAACCAUCGCUAUGGGAAGAACAUGGCAAUGCGGAGUGUCGGGCUAUUUGGAGUAAAUUGCAAAAAGCCACCAUAAUUGAGGACCCUAAUUCAAAAAACCGCCACCAUUCAUUUUUUUUCAAAAACCCACCAUUAUUGUACUGACAGUUUGCAAAAAACACUGAUCACACCGUUAAAUAAGUUUAAGUGAAAACCUGACGGGGUGGACCCGCUGUCAGGUGCCAUGUGGCUGGGGUAAAUGGAUGAAACAAACGGACGUUAUACGACCGGUCAAACCCCCUGCUCUGCCUCCUUGGCAUUUUGCCAAACAGGUAGCGGGCGUGCUAGAGUGGCAGCCCGGUGCAUCUCGUCGGCCGCCCUCGUCUCCGGCAGCCGCCGUCCCGGCGCGCCACCACCCGUCGAUGGCUUGGGGAUUCCAUUGGACUGCAUCGUGGAUUGGUCUUCGAGCAAGUACACGUGAAUGAGCAAAUAAAUGUCCGUGCAAACUUUGCCUCGGAAGCACUGAUUCCGGCACGAAGCCGACGCCGCCUAAGCUGGCGAGGCCGAGCUCCAGCGAGCCUACGAACCUGACCGCUCCGGCGAGUACAAUAUCCUGCACGCCGCGCCCCAUCCCGCUCCGGCGAGGCCGAGCUACAGCGCGCCCGCUCCCCUACCUGCUCGGCGAGGCGGAGCUAGAUUUGGUCGGGAGGUAGAGCACCAGACCUCGCCGCCUCCCCCAGCUGCUUCGCAUCAACGCCCCGGUGCCACAGGGCAUCUUCACAACGAGCCCCGCAACCUCCUACUACCUCCUGUCAUCGCCUUGCUCCGGCAGCAACCGCCGCGCGCCGCCAUCGCGGACUCGCCCUCCCCUGCCACCCCCGCGUCGACUACAAGCUCCUGGUGAGCUCCGCCUUCCCCUUCUCACGCUCUCCUAGCAAGCACCCAUGGCUGGGUCGACGACGGCGAGGGCGCCGGUGCGUCCGUGUCGAGUGCGUUGGAGUUGACCAGAGGAGGAAGAGGAACGGGAGUGAGAAUGACGGGCGGCCCCUACUCCAGCCUAAUAUUUGAGCCAAACGGGGUGAGUUGUUUUCAUGCCGCGUCAUCAUUUAUAGAGGGACCUAGCUGUCAGUUUUUCAUCAAGCAGCUCUAAUUGACCCAUCAGUGUUUUUUGCAAACUGUCAGUACAAUAACGGUGGGGUUUAAAAAAAACGAAUAGUGGUGGUUUUCUGAAUUAGCGUCCCCAAUUGUGGUGGGUUUUUGCAAUUUACUCGGCUAUUUGUCGUGUGUAUUUUAUCAGACACUUGGCAAACAAGCUCUUUGCAGAAUGUAUCAGAGACAACACGAGGCAAGGGCUUUGCCAAGUGUUCUUUAUACGACACUCGAUAAAUAAAUAAUUCCAAAGCAAUAUCAGUUUUGCUAAGUCUCAGUCGACGAAGACUUUGUUAUAUCUCAGUCGAUGUUAUUCCUCUGAUCUUGAUCUUGCAUGAAGAUCCGUACAUAAUGUAUCGGAGACAAUACGGAACACUCGGCCGGUCGCACACGCGCUCCAUCGCUCCAUCUUGUGUGUAGCGAUUCGUGCAAACACCCCAACCACAAUCACGCAGCUGGAUGGCCCCACGACCAAACAGAGUUAGCCUUAUCUCUUUCAGCCGUUGCUCCUUUUCCUUCUCCAUGAGGACGGCAGCACAGGGCAGCCGGCCAGUGAUGACAGGUAUGCCGUGCGCUGUAUGCUUGAUUCCCUCUUCCCUUCUCCCUCAAGCUCAUUUGAUUGCACCAUAGCAUCAAUCUUCUCCCUCAAGCUCGACGCUUCGUGAUCUCUCUUCAUUUUUUACUUAGUCUUCUUGUCGUCAUCGGGCUUGUUCAAAUUUCUUGGGCCAUCACUAUCCUCAUCUUCAUCCAAGUUUGUAAAGUGAACCUCUCUUCGGUACAAGAGCUUGCUGUCUUCCCGGAACUCGGCUCCUUCCUCGUCCAGCUCGCGCAGGACUGCGGAGAUGAGGGCACCUUGUGGUGCAAGGACGAGGCCCGGGACACAGCCCUUCAUCUGGCGGCGAGGCUCGACCAUGGCGCGGCAGUUGAGGCAAUGGUCUCCGUGGUGCCCGACCUUGCCUCAGAGGUUAACGACGCGGGCGUGUUGCCGCUGUACUUGGCCGUGAUGAGCAGGUCGAUGCGAGCCGUCAAAGUUAUAACGACCAGGUGCGGCGACGCGUCGGCUGCCGGGCCGAGCUCGCAGAACGCUCUGCACGCCGCCGUCUUCCAGGGCUCAGGUCAGCUUGGCAGCUAGCUCCUCCUUGAUCCGUGUGGAUCCUAAAAAUACAUGCAUAAUUGUUAAUCCUCGCAUUGCUCAAUGUGAACAUUUUCAGAAAUGGUCAGGCUGCUACUCGACUGGAAGCCGUGUGGCUCAUCCCUCGCUAGCCAAGCCGAUGGCACCGGCAGUACUCCCCUGCAUUUCGCUUCGUCCGACGGUGACCUCUCCAUCGUACGUGUCAUCCUGAGCGCCGUGCCGCCCUCCGCGGUGCACACGCGGGACUCUGACGGCCUCUCUGCUCUCCACGUCGCGGCAGGGAUGGGCCACGUCCGCGUUGCCGAGGCGCUGAUGAAUGUUAGUAGUAAUCUUGAUUAGACUAGUUGUUAGUUGCAUGCAUAGGUUAGUGCAGCAGGUGCCGUUGUGAUUUGUUGUAGGCUGGCCGCGUCGUGCGUGGCCGGAGCCUGUGGAUCAAUGAGCUGAAUGUGGCGUGCAUGUAGUUAGCUGGUUGUUAGCUACAUGGACGGCCGGGUCGUGUGUGCGUGGGUGCGUGGGUGCUGCGUCACCGGACGGUUAUAAAGCCAGGCAUGAUCAGAGUCUAUAGAGAAGCUGUGUUGUAAGCCAUGUAGCCGGUGCAGAGUUCGUGUUCUGGGGAAAGAAAGCCGUUUGUGCGGCAGUGGCUUACGUGCACCAGGAAAAUCCACCCGUGCCCGGUGUCUCCUUCUUCCUUCUUCUUGUUUCGUUCGAGUGAACCAGAGAGAUUGGAGAGAGAGAGCGAGGAGAGGGCAAGAGGAAGGCCACGGAAAAGCAUUGGGGGCUAAAAGAGUUAGAGCUCUCAGGGAGGAGCUUUACUUGGUCUAAUAACCAGGACGAUCCCUUGUAUGUAAAACUAGAUAGGAUUCUUGUUAGCCCAUCUUGGGAACAACAUUUUCCUUUAGUUACGGUCAGGACACUCGUUAGAGGUGUCUCUGAUCAUGCUGCUCUUUUGGUACAUACUGGAAUUGUAAAUGCUGUAGCUACCAGGCCUUUUAAAUUUGAGCUAUGCUGGCUUCUCAGAGAUGAGUUGCCGGCCGUUGUUUCUAGAAUUUGGAAAUCUAUCGCUCCUAAAAAAAACAGCCUGGAUUGGUGGCAGGCUAUUAUGAGAAAAUUAAGAAGCGGGCUCAAGGGUUGGAACCUUAAUGUUGAGGGUAGUUACAGGAAAAAGAAGAGUUUUAUUAUUAAUGCUUUAGAUAUACUUGAUAAGAAGUGUGAGCUUGUUGGUGUAUCAGCAGCUGACUAUGUGCAUAUAAAUAGUCUGCAAAAUGAUUUGAAUAAAAUUCUUAGAGAGGAAGAAAUAAAAUGGUAUCAACGCUCGAAGGAGAGGGAUAUCAAAGAAGGGGAUAGCAACACUAAGUAUUUUAUGAUUAAGGCUAGUGGUCGGAAGCGUAAGAGUAAAAUCUUUCGACUUAUCCAGGAUGAAGGGAUCAUCCAGGGGGAUGAUAACUUGCUCAAAUAUGCAACUAAUUUUUAUAAAGAUUUAUUUGGCCAUGUAGAUUUACCUCCUACAUCUCUGUGUAUCCCUCUUGAUGAUGUGUUGUCAGAAGAGGAUAAGGUUGAGCUCAGUUGCAAAUUUACUAUGGAUGAAGUUAAAAAUGCGUUAUUUUCUAUGAAGCGCAACAGUGCGGCUGGCCCGGACGGCUUUCCUGCCGAGUUCUUUCAAUUUUUCUGGAACCUCAUUUGUAACGAUCUCCUUAGGCUUUUUCAUGACUUUUAUGAGGGCAAGAUUAACAUUUCAAGGCUUAACUAUGGGGUAGUCACUUUGCUUGCUAAGGGGCAGGGGGCUGAUAGGAUUCAAAUGUACCGCCCCAUCUGUAUGCUGAACGUUCCUUUUAAAAUUUUUACAAAAGUUCUUAACAAUAGAGCUAUGAAAAUUGCGGAUAAAACAAUUUCCAAAGCUCAAUCUGCGUUUAUAAAAGGGCGCUACAUCCUGGACAAUGUACUUAUGCUUCAUGAAGCUAUCCACUCUUUACAUAGAAAAAAAUGUUCUGCUGUGCUUUUUAAGGUUGAUUUCGAAAAAGCUUACGAUAAAAUUAAUUGGAGUUUCAUGCUUGAUGUCCUAAAGAUGAAAGGCUUCCCUGAACGUUUUGUCCAAUGGACAAAAGAUGUCGUUAGUAAUGGAAAGGUUGCCAUCACUAUUAAUGAUGUUAUCGGCCCGUAUUUUGUUACUAGGAAGGGUUUGAGGCAAGGGGACCCGUUUUCCCCCUUGCUUUUCAAUUUGGCAGCUGAUGUUCUUGCUACCCUGGUGCAAAGGGCGCAAGAACAAGGAUUUAUCAAGGGAGUGUUGCCUAGGGUGUAUGCAGGAGGUCUAAAUAUUUUGCAAUAUGCGGACGAUACUAUUUUCUGUUUUGAAGAUGACCUUGAGGGGGCUAGGAACCUCAAAAUUAUUCUAUGUGUUUUUGAGCAUUUGACCGGUCUGAAGAUUAAUUUUUUAAAGAGUGAAAUUUUCUGUUUCGGUAAAGCUUUGGAGAAACAAGCUGAUUAUGCCGGCAUUUUUACUUGCGCUAUUGGGGGCUUCCCUUUUAGGUAUUUAGGUCUUCCCCUUCAUUAUAAAAAACUUUGUAAUGCGGAUUGGAAAUCAGCGGAAGAAAAAGUAGAGAAAGGAGCUGCAGCGUGGCAAGGGGGUCUUUUAUCUAUGGGCGGUAGGCUUAUACGCACUGAAACUUGCUUGAGUAACAUCAUUAGCCAUUUACUUAACUUUUUCCGUCUACCAAAAGGAGUAGGAAAAAGAAUCAAUUUCUUUCGAGCGCGGGUGCUUUGGCAAGAAAGAGAGGGGGUUAGGAAGUAUCAUCUAGUUAACUGGCUUGACGUUUGUCAACCUAGAGACCAAGGGGGGUUGGGUGUUACUAAUCUAGAUAUCAAGAAUAUUAGUCUUUUGUGUAAGUGGCUCUGGAGACUUGAGAAUGAAGAUGGGGAUUGGCAGGAGAUGAUUAGAGCAAAGUAUUUGAAGAGGAAAACUCUGUCUCAAUGUGAGUCAUCUCCUGCCAACUCUCAUUUCUGGAAUGGUAUCAUGAGUGUUAAAGAUAUCUUUUACAACUGUUGUCAGAGAAUUGUUGGGGAUGGGCAUAAAACUAGAUUUUGGGAAGAUGCUUGGAUCCACAACAAGCCUCUCUGUCAACUUUUUCCUCGCUUGUACAAGCUUACUUUUCAUCAAAACAUUACGGUUGCUAAAGCAUUUGAACAUGAUUUUAACUGCAUUAGAUUUAGGAGAUGUUUAUAUGGGGAGACACUGGAUAUGUGGAAUAAGCUUCUGGAUAUGUGCAGUCAGGUUGUUCUGAGUGAGGAACCUGACAAAGUCAACUGGCUUUUGACUAGCUCUGGUCAGUUCUCUGUUAAAUCUCUUUAUCAAUAUAUUAUUGCAAAGAGAGUAGUGUUCCCUUUUAAGUUUCUUUGGAAACUGAAGGUACCUUUGAAAAUUAAAGCUUUUAUAUGGUUAGUUAUCAAAGGAAGGAUCCUGACCAAGGACAACUUGUGUAAAAAAGGCUGGAAAGGCACCAACAAAUGUGAAUUUUGUGAUGCCAAUGAAUAUAUUGAUCAUCUGUUUUUCACUUGUUCUCUUGCUCGGUUUCUUUGGAAUGUAGUUGGGAGUGCUUUGGGAAAUCCCCAAACACCCCUGUCAUUCUUUGACCUUUGCCAGAAUUGGCUUCCUAAGUAUACUGGGAAAGAUAGAAUGGUUAUAGCUAUUGGUACGACUGCUUUGUUAUGGUCGAUCUGGAAAGCAAGAAAUAAAUCCUGCUUUCAAAGUUCUUUACCUAGGGAUCCUACUGAUAUUAUCGUCUCUUUAUGUUAUAUGUUGGAUUCCUGGGGUGUGCUACAGAAAAGAGGGGUGGAAAAAACUCUUAAGGAAGUGACCAAGAGGUUGGCCCAGAUAGCGAGGGACGUCUUCAAGCGUGCUUACGGAUGGGGCCCAGCUGUACGGAGGCUCUGUUGAUCAAGUGUUGACAGAUGCAGCAUUUACGAUUAUCUCUCUUGUUCUUUUGAUAUAGCACCUUGUAGGUGCAGAUUUUGGUAUCUCAGAUGUAGGAGUUUAUUUCCCCUGAUGCAAAAUAUUAGGCAACAUUUGUAGCGAUGAUGCUUUGGAGCGUUCUUCUGUUGUAGCAUCCUGUAGGUGCGGUUGAAGUGCCUCUAGAUGUAUGAGUAGUGUUUCCUGAUGCAGAUGUUAGGCAUCGAAAAAUGUUAAAUUUGUAUGGAACUUGCUUUGUAUGUUGUGACUCCAUUUUCGUAAUGAAAAUGGGGGCCAUGGGGCCCCUCUGAUCGAAAAAAAAGGCCACGGAAACAACAAUGAAAGCAUGCCCCGACGCCGCCGAGCUGAGGGACGACCGCGGCGGAACCUUCAUGCACGCCGCGACCAGGGGAGCCACGGCAAGGUCGUGUCGCUGGCCAUCAAGAAAACGAAGCUGCGCGGCAUCCUGAACACGCAAGAUGGGGAUGGCAACACACCUCUCCACCUGGCGGUGGCCGCACGCGCGCCGGCCGUGGCGGAGGCCCUGAUGUCGAAGGGGAAAGUGUGAGCCGAUGUCAUGAACAAGGAGGGGCAGACGCCAUUGGAUCUCGCCGCGAAAUCGACCAGUUUCUUCUCCAUGGUAAUUCUGGUGGCGACACUAGCUGCAUUCGGCGCGCAGUCCCGUCCUCAAAGGCGGGACCAUGUCCAGCAAUGGAACAACCAGAACAUAACAAAGGCGAUAUAGAAGACGUCUGAUAGCCUCGC
rnacentral:lncRNA from 1 species